rnacentral:rRNA from 1 species
AUUGAACGCUGGCGGCAUGCCUAACACAUGCAAGUCGAACGAGUGGCGGACGGGUGAGUAAUGUCUGGGAAACUGCCUGAUGGCGGGGGUUAACUACUGGAAACGGUAGCUAAUACCGCCUACCAUCGGAUUUUCCCAGAUGGGAUUCGCUAGUAGGUGGGGUAAAGGCUCACCUAGGACACGAUCCCUAGCUGGUCUGAGAGGAUGACCAGCAACACUGGAACUGAGACACGGUCCAGACUCAUACGGGAGGCAGCAGUGGGGAAUAUUGCACAAUGGGCGCAAGCCUGAUGCAGCCAUGCCGCGUGUAUGAAGAAGGCCUUCGGGUUGGAAAGUACUUUCAGCGGGGAGGCGUUACCCGCAGAAGAAGCACCGGCUAACUCCGUGCCAGCAGCCGCGGUAAUUC